CCAACGAGCUUGUGAAAGGGCCUCAACUCCCUCAUCGCCCUUACUACAUGGUCUAUUUGGAAACAUCACAAUGCCACCCUCUUCGACAAUCUUCGGCCAUCCACCGACGAACUUGUCCGCGCUAUCAAGGAUGAGACCCAACUAUGGGCAAGGGACGGAGCCAGUGGACUUGCUUUUGUGAUCCCUAUAGUCUAG
rnacentral:rRNA from 1 species